rnacentral:rRNA from 1 species
UACGUAGGGUGCGAGCGUUAAUCGGAAUUACUGGGCGUAAAGGGUGCGCAGGCGGUCUCGUAAGCUGGGUGUGAAAGCCCCCGGGCUUAACCUGGGAAUGGCAUUCAGGACUGCGAGGCUUUGAGUGCGGCAGAGGGAGGUGGAAUUCCACGUGUAGCAGUGAAAUGCGUAGAGAUGUGGAGGAACACCGAUGGCGAAGGCAGCCUCCUGGGCCAGCACUGACGCUCAUGCACGAAAGCGUGGGGAGCAAACAGG